UUGAUUUUUGUUUAAUCUUUGGUUAGUUGUAAUUAAAUUCAAUUAAUACUUGUAAUUUUGUCAUUAUUCGUGAUGUGAGUUUUUAAUUUUACAUGAAGUAUAUAAUCAAUUCUACCUCUAUAUCUAUUUAUCAUAUUAUGUUAAAGUUAUUAGCAAUUGUUUUCUUCCAGUCAUUUUUUCUCCAAAAUUUAAUUUUUGUUUCUUGUUAGAAUUGUGGGGUUUAUUUUCUCAAAUGGUUUAAAUCACUCAGGUACUUUUUUUAUUUUUUUUUAUAAAUAUGUGAGAUUAAUUUUUCUUUUUGUUUCCAAUUAAAUUUACUAGUAUUACAUUAUAAAAUCAGGUAUAACUAUUCUUUCUUGUUUUUGUGCUAAUAAGGUUGAUUUUGUGAUAGAAAUAUUGAGAAUAUUAGGUGUCCAAGUUAACAGGUGUUUGAAAAUUUCAAAGCUAAAACUGGACGAGGAGUUAGAUAGACACCUCUAUGAAUGUUAAUUAAAAUUAAACUAAACACUGCACAUAUUUCAGGACAUGGUGUUUCGUGGGGUGCUACUAUGAAUUAUUAUAUAUACUUUUUGAUUACAUAUUGAUCAACACAUUUUAUCUUCUUAUUAAAAUUUCAGCUCUUGUCAUAUUUAGAAUGUGUAUACUCUCACACUGUUUUUUUUUUAUUCUUUUUAGAAUGGUGGGUGUUGUAUACAUUGUUGUCACACACUACUACUCUGUGGGCUUUGGUUGGAUCAAUUUUGUUUGUUUCAUAGUAGUGGAACUAUACUAUACUUAACUCAAUAUAAUUGGAUAAAUUUGUUAUCUUAAUUAGCACUUAUUACCUUUAUCCUACGUACCAAGUGUGGCUAACUACUUUUUGCAUUGUAAUAAGUUAAUGUCUUAAAAGCAUUCCAAUGGAUAUUAAACUUGACGUUAGUCAACUAUUAUGUUUUGUUAGUUCUAAAAGCAUGUUUAAUCAUAUACUUUCUUUUGCAUUUAUAGGCAUUUCAUGCUCAAAAUGUGGAAAAUGUUGCUGAUAUAAAGGAGCAAUCAAAGGAAUCUGGUAACAAGCCACUCCCAAUAACAUGGGGAUUUUAUCUCUUUUAUUUAUGCUGCUGGCUCCUUGAUUUUCUUGCAGAUUGAGAACCCGGGGAAUACCAGAGCCAUAGUUUUGUCACAUCUAGAGAUAUUUACGUUUUAGGUUUAUUUCAAGAGAACGAUGACAGGAAUUGGACUGGAAAACAAUUCAUACACGAGAAAAUGGAAACUUGCUUGUUGAUAGGAAAAACUCUCAAUAAUGAAGUCGGGUGUAUUUGGUUCACUUACGAUGGAUUCUCAAAUUAUUAGUGAUGAUUAAGUUUAUGUUGAACCUUAGAAAUCUAGAAUAAUGAGUUUCUUGGGAAACAAAGGUGAUGUCUUAAUACGUAUGUCAAUAGAUAUACAUUAUAAACUUCUAAAUUCUGACUGUUUCAUUCAUCGAUUUCUCAAGGCAUAAAUUGAAUACCAGUUCUAGUCGUUGCUGAUUGACCUUGCUGCUGCAAUUUAUGCUUGCUCGACGCUGCUACCGCUGCAAUGUAUGCUUGCUCAACGACGCUACUACUGCAAUCUAUGCUUGCUCUGUCCACUGUUGUUGUUGUUGCUGCUGCUAUUUGUGCUUGACAUUGUUGUAUUAGCUAUUUGUGCUUGAUGUUGUUUUAUUGUAUUAUUUGUAAAUACACUCAUAACCUUGAAUUGUACCAUUGUAAAUUUUAAUUUAUUUUGGGUGAAUAUAAUAUUUACCAGCAUUUAUAAAUGAAA